CCGCCAUACCAUAAACAUGUGCCGGAGCGUACUCGACUUCGUAUAUAAUUUAUAUUCGUUCGAUAUAAUUAUAUAUAAUUUAAAAAUAUGCACAAAUAUUAAAUUUGAAAUACGUUUUAUGUUAUAUUCGCGAGUGUUUAAAAUAUAUAUGUUUUAUUCAUGAAUGUUUUAAGUACGUUUAUUUGCGUAGUGAUAUAGUAACAGUUUCGCGCGCUUUUUUGCAUUUGUUUAUAGUCUACACGUUUAUUUACGAAUGUUCAGUUUACACAUUUAUUCGUAAAUUAUUCGUAUAUAUAAUUCGUUUAUUAUAUAUAUCAUUUUAUUUGUGAAUGCUGGUAUGUUUCAUCAUUAGACAAACAGUUAGCAAAUGGACGAUACAAUGUUCUACAAAGUUCUUCGCAAAAUUAUUAUUUGAUUAGAGUUUUGAAGAUGGAAUGUCGUUGAAAGUGUAAUAUUUUUUGCACAUACCAUGUAAUUAAGAGAUAAUCCGACUUUCAUGCGAAUGUGGAAAUUGACAUCUUACUCGAUGUGUUUUGAUUUAUCGAAUCGUCGAUUUAUCGAACCCCCCUUUCUAACUUAUAAUUCGAUGUAUCGAAAUUGCGGGAUGCCAUUUUGUUACUGAAAAUCAUAAGACACUUCGUUUCUGAUAAAUAACUUGAUUGGUAGAAAUUACUUUAGGUAGGAAAAGUAUUUCCAAUAUGGACGUCAUGAUGUCAUUUUAUACAAUUAUAUGAAAAAAGAGGUAAAAUUUAAAUUUCUAUAUUGAAGAAAAAUGUAAGUAUUUACUUUUGUAUUUUUCCUUUUAGUUCUUUAGUUUAACGUACUAGUUAUGUAUUAUAUAUACGUAAUUUUUAUAUAAUUUAUAAUUAUUGUAUUAAUUAUUGAAAAUAUUAAGAUGAAAAUUUGUUUCAAAAAUUUUAUAGCAAAAAUAUGAGAUCAAAUCAA